GCCCACGUAGCUCAGUCGGCAGAGCGCGUCCUUGGUAAGGACGAGGUCAGCAGUUCGAUCCUGCUCGUGGGCU
rnacentral:tRNA from 1 species